GGAGAGGUGCGAGAGCGGCCGAAUCGGGCUCCCUGCUAAGGAGUUAUACCCCUAAAGGGUAUCGGGGGUUCGAAUCCCCCCCUCUCCG
rnacentral:tRNA from 1 species